GACGAACCGUGCGAACGUUGUUCGGAAUCACUGGGCUUAAAGGGCGCGUAGGCGGGCCACCAAGUCUGGGGUGAAAGCCCCCGGCUCAACCGGGGAAUUGCCUGAGAUACUGGUGGUCUGGAGGGAGGUAGGGGCAGCGGGAACUUCCGGUGGAGCGGUGAAAUGCGUUGAUAUCGGAAGGAACGCCGGUGGCGAAAGCGCGCUGCUGGACCUCUUCUGACGCUGAGGCGCGAAAGCUAGGGGAGCGAACGGGAUUAGAUACCCCGGUAGUCCUAGCCCUAAACGAUGGGUACUAGGUAGUGGACUUGACAUGGGUUCACUGCCGAAGCAAAAGUGAUAAGUACCCCGCCUGGGGAGUAUGGUCGCAAGGCUGAA
rnacentral:rRNA from 1 species